rnacentral:rRNA from 1 species
AGAGUUUGAUCAUGGCUCAGAACGAACGCUGGCGGCGUGCCUAAUACAUGCAAGUCGAACGAGAAAGUGGGGCAACCCAUUAGUAAAGUGGCAAACGGGUGAGUAAUACAUAGGUAACCUACCUCCAAGAUGGGGAUAACCUUCCGAAAGGAGGGCUAAUACCGAAUGAGACCACAGCUGCAAAUGCAGCUGGGGCCAAAGGUGGCCUCUAUUUAUACGCUAUCGCUUGGAGAUGGGCUUAUGCACCAUCAGCUAGUUGGUGAGGUAAAAGCUCACCAAGGCUUUGACGGUUAGCUGAUCUGAGAGGUUGAUCAGCCACACUGGAACUGAGACACGGUCCAGACUCCUACGGGAGGCAGCAGUAGGGAAUAUUGCGCAAUGGAGGAAACUCUGACGCAGCGACGCCGCGUGGGUGAUGAAGGCCUUCGGGUCGUAAAGCCCUGUCGGAAGGGACGAAAAACGAAAUGGCUAACAUCCAUAUCGCUGACGGUACCUAAAGAGCC